UCCUGUCUCAAAAUAAUAAUAAUAAUAAGAGAAAGAAAGAAAUAAUUUUAAAAAACACACAAGGUACCUACAUUGGCAAAUUUUACAAAAAUAUAUGACCCUGUGAACACAUCAUCACCUCCAGGGCCAGGGAAUAGUUUGUGCAGAUGAGUGGCCCUGAAUCUCAUGCUUUAUGACUUCCUGGUAAAUCCACCUCCGCAUCUACACGUGAGAAUCAUGUUGCUUCCCUGAGAAGAACAGAGUGAGGCAAGAGCAAAAUACUGUAUUAAUCCAAUCAGACCUAAAAUGAAUCCUGCCCUUUUACAGAGGAACAGAGGAGGAAACUGGGGUUCAGAGAGGACAAGUAACACCCAACAUCACAUAUACAAUCAGUGUUAGAAUCUGCUUCCUUUAACUUCAAUUUUCAGACUGGUAUUUCUGUGCUAUUUCCCAGGAAAGCUUGUAAAACCAGAGGAAACAAUAGGAGUAAAUAUGUUACAGUCUGUUUUUCCUUAUAGAGGUACUGUAUACACACAGCCAACAAGGAGGACAUAGCCAACCCAGUAGAAUCUGAGAGAGGAUGACUGAGAGAUUUUGCAUCAUCUGAUCCCUUCCCUCUUUCCUGUUUUCAGAGGCUUACGAGGUGUG
rnacentral:lncRNA from 1 species